rnacentral:miRNA from 1 species
UUGUAUUAGGUUGGUGCAAAAGUGAUUGCGGUUUUUGCCAUUACUUUCAAUGAAAGCAAAUGGCAAAAACCGCAAUCACUUUUGCACCAAGCUAAU